AAGAAAAUCUUCUCUCUGUUACUAAGAAAAAGCUCCCUUCCCAUUCCCCAUUCUCCCUCCCUAGUGCUGGACAGCGCCGCCGCCGCCGCCUCCCAUCUUCUCGUCGUUCUCGGAGGACGAGGGCAGGAAGAAUCGCCUCUGGUGGCUGCACCGUCGUGCCCUCCACCCGCGCCGCCGUAUCAACGGGACCUUGCGCGGCUCCCUAUUAUUUCAGCUCCACCCGCGCCACCAUCGACGGCGCGGCUCCUCGCGUGGCUGCAGCGGCGCUCCUGGCCGGUAGAGGAGGAGUGAGAGGCCGCUGCUUCCUCAGCAUGGUCCUGCUCGCCGACGACGAAGCCCUGCGAGGAGACGGCUCCACUGCUCCGAGCUCCUCCGAUCUAUUGCUGCCGCCGCCAUGGAGAGUGUAGAGAUGAUCUGAAAUAAGAGUGCUGCUGUUUGUAUUGCUACAGCAGUGAAGGCCACGGGUCAGAGUGUUUAUCGUAUCUGGGAGAAUGAAACCUGAGGAGACUGUUGUAGCAAUAUUUCUCUACCAGAUGAAGUUGUGGAUAGAGUUGGAACAGUAUUGCCAUUUGAAGAUUCAGUUUUUGAGGAGGAAAAAACUGGAAUUUCUUGAGAUGCGGGAAGAACUUAUCAAGGUGAUGUAUAUGUCUCACAAAUAUUAGAAAUGGACUGUUUUUACAUCAUCUGCAAAUGCAACCAUGAUACUUGUCGUAGAUAUGAAACUCACAUUGGUCGUACUUCUGGUAAAGCUAGUAGUGAGUGGGGCAUGUAGUCACUCUUCUUUUACUAAUUUAUUGUCUUGGCUCAAAAGUCAUUCAUAUUGCCAUGCUACCUCGCCGUUCUGGAUCGACGCCGUCCCUUCGGGUUUCUGGUGUGGCGUCGAUCUGGACGAUGGCGCGACUUUGUCCGGUUGUAGUUCUUCGGUGCAGGUCCAAUCUCUCUGGGUGAUGUGGUGCUCGUGCGUCUGUGCCCGUGGCUGGCCGGCUGGUGCUGGGCUUAGGAAACAUUGUUCCCCGGUGCAGAGUGGCGACUGUGCACUACGGCCUGGGCUACAAUUUUUGACUGGUUACCCUGUUUCAGCUCUGCUCUCUUGUGUUCGGUUUCGGGGUAUGUAGAGAAUGUGAUGUUUAGAAAAAUCUGGGCAACAGCAGCAUUUCCAAGAUGACAAAUAUGUUCUUAUUUUGGCUUGAGACAUUGAAGAGGGGAUGUCUGGCCAUAAAGCCACCUUAUUGUGAUCGCCAUUGUAUAAUGUCUGUGUUGGGGUAUCUGCUUCUUUCAUGCUUGGAAACAUUGAUGAGGGGAUGUCUGUCCACAAAAUAUGGUACCAGUGUUCAUAGACAUGUUGAAGAUGUCGUAUAUGGAAACAGAUAACAAAAAAUACCUGAUGUAAAGCUGACUUGUGAAAGAGUUUAAUUGAACUGAAGGUGACGACCUGUGAAACUGACAGGUUAAUUGUAAAGCUGACUCGUGAAACAGUUUAAUUGAACCGAAGGUGUCAACGUGCGAAACUGACAGGUCAAUUGAACCAAAGACCUGGGAUUGUGUCACAUAAAAAAUCAUUGGAGAUAGGAUGUAUUUGUAGCACCAAAGAUGGCUGCCUCUAAGUAGGUUUCAAGACUCCUGUAGGAAUAUAAAUAGGAUUAUCCAUGGCUACGGUCCGGCGGCUACAUUUGUUUC